CCUACGGGGGGCAGCAGUGAGGAAUAUUGGUCAAUGGGCGGGAGCCUGAACCAGCCAAGCCGCGUGAGGGAAGAAGGUACAGCGUAUCGUAAACCUCUUUUGUCAGGGGACAAAGGCGGGGACUAGUCCCCGGAUGAGGGUACCUGAAGAAAAAGCAUCGGCUAACUCCGUGCCAGCAGCCGCGGUAAUACGGAGGAUGCGAGCGUUAUCCGGAAUGAUUGGGCGUAAAGGGUGCGUAGGCGGCCUGCUAAGUCUGGAGUGAAAGGUACCGGCUCAACCGGUACAGGCUCUGGAAACUGGCGGGG
rnacentral:rRNA from 1 species